rnacentral:ncRNA from 1 species
AAAGUGGAAGCCGAAAAACUUUACGAGUAGGCA